rnacentral:rRNA from 1 species
GACGAACGCUGGCGGCGUGCUUAACACAUGCAAGUCGAACGGAAAGGCCCUGCUUUUGUGGGGUGCUCGAGUGGCGAACGGGUGAGUAACACGUGAGUAACCUACCCUUGACUUUGGGAUAACUUCAGGAAACUGGGGCUAAUACCGGAUAGGAGCUCCUGCUGCAUGGUGGGGGUUGGAAAGUUUCGGCGGUUGGGGAUGGACUCGCGGCUUAUCAGCUUGUUGGUGGGGUAGUGGCUUACCAAGGCUUUGACGGGUAGCCGGCCUGAGAGGGUGACCGGCCACAUUGGGACUGAGAUACGGCCCAGACUCCUACGGGAGGCAGCAGUGGGGAAUAUUGCACAAUGGGCGGAAGCCUGAUGCAGCAACGCCGCGUGCGGGAUGACGGCCUUCGGGUUGUAAACCGCUUUCGCCUGUGACGAAGCGUGAGUGACGGUAAUGGGUAAAGAAGCACCGGCUAACUACGUG